CAGUAGCCACGGUAAAACGAAGGGAGCAAGCGUUAGUCGGAAUUACUGGGCGUAAAGCGUGCGUAGGCGGUUUGUUAAGUCAGAUGUGAAAUCCCCGAGCUUAACUUGGGAACUGCAUUUGAAACUGGCAAGCUAGAGUCUUGUAGAGGGGGGUAGAAUUCCAGGUGUAGCGGUGAAAUGCGUAGAGAUCUGGAGGAAUACCGGUGGCGAAGGCGGCCCCCUGGACAAAGACUGACGCUCAGGUGCGAAAGCGUGGGGAGCAAACAGGAUUAGAUACCCGAGUAGUCCCUGUCUCUUAUAA
rnacentral:rRNA from 1 species